AUGUGGUCAUCUUACCCAAUUGAAAAGCAAUCCUACAAUUCAUACACUAGAGACUUGUACGAGAAAUUCCACGACAAGUUUCAGUUGACUACAAGGUACAACGUGCGGCCCCACGGUGAACACUUGUAUGAGCUUUACCCCAAUCAAGAAUGGGUCGCUAAAUAUGGUUCUAGGAGCUAUUUUGUGACUAUUGAAACUAGUGCUGGAGAAUACAGAUGUGAGUGUUGCAAGUUUCAUAGGGAUGGUAUGCUUUGCUGUCAUAUAUUGAAGGUUUUCAACCAUCUUGGGGUUGAUGAGGUCCCAACGCAUUACAUCAAAAGAAGAUGGACACCUCUAGCAAUCCCGGAUGCAAACCCUGCUGUUGAGGAUCAGCCUGAUGAGAUGCCGGAACAAUCAAAGAAAGAAGUCCGUCAUGCAAAUUUGACGAUGGACUUUGGUGAACUUGCUAAGGUUGCUAGUGCAUCAGAUGCUGUGACAAAUAUUGUAAAGAAGCAUAUGCAUGGAGCACGUCAC
rnacentral:rRNA from 1 species